rnacentral:rRNA from 1 species
UACAGAGGUGGCAAGCGUUGUUCGGAAUUACUGGGCGUAAAGGGCGCGUAGGCGGUCUUCUAAGUCUUGUGUGAAAUCCCUCGGCUUAACUGAGGAACUGCACGGGAUACUGGAUGACUUGAGUUCGGGAGAGGGAAGCGGAAUUCCGGGUGUAGCGGUGAAAUGCGUAGAUAUCCGGAGGAACACCGGUGGCGAAGGCGGCUUCCUGGACCGACACUGACGCUGAGGCGCGAAAGCCAGGGGAGCGAACGGG